CCUACGGGAGGCAGCAGUGAGGAAUAUUGGUCAAUGGACGCAAGUCUGAACCAGCCAAGCCGCGUGCAGGAUGACGGCUCUAUGAGUUGUAAACUGCUUUUGUACGAGGGUAAACCCCGAUACGUGUAUCGGGUUGAAAGUAUCGUACGAAUAAGGAUCGGCUAACUCCGUGCCAGCAGCCGCGGUAAUACGGAGGAUCCGAGCGUUAUCCGGAUUUAUUGGGUUUAAAGGGUGCGUAGGCGGUUUGAUAAGUUAGAGGUGAAAUGUCGGGGCUCAACCCCGAAACUGCCUCUAAUACUGUUGGACUUGAGAAUAGUUGCGGUAGGCGGAAUGUAUGGAGUAGCGGUGAAAUACUUAGAGAUCAUACAGAACACCGAUUGCGAAGGCAGCUUACCAAACUAUAUCUGACGUUGAGGCACGAAAGCGUGGGUAGCAAACAGGAUUAGAUACCCGGGUAGUC
rnacentral:rRNA from 1 species